CUUAUCGAUGGGGACGACGGUCCCUCGCAAGAGGGUUCAAUGGGAAUGCGGUAUUUACUCCGCAGCUGCCCCCGCAACUGUGAGCGGUGAGCGCUGGCGAUAUGACCACUGGGUUAUGCCCGGGAAGGUCGCCAGACGCUGAGACCCGCGAGCCAGGAGACCUGCCGUCACAGAAGAAUCGAAC
rnacentral:ncRNA from 1 species